rnacentral:rRNA from 1 species
UACGGAAGGCAGCAGUGGGGAAUAUUGCACAAUGGGCGCAAGCCUGAUGCAGCCAUGCCGCGUGUAUGAAGAAGGCCUUCGGGUUGUAAAGUACUUUCAGUCGUGAGGAAGGUGUUAAGGUUAAUAACCUUAGCAAUUGACGUUAGCGACAGAAGAAGCACCGGCUAACUCCGUGCCAGCAGCCGCGGUAAUACGGAGGGUGCGAGCGUUAAUCGGAAUUACUGGGCGUAAAGGGCACGCAGGCGGUUAAUUAAGUUGGAUGUGAAAUCCCCGGGCUUAACCUGGGAAUGGCAUUCAAGACUGGUUAGCUAGAGUCUUGUAGAGGGGGUAGAAUUCCAUGUGUAGCGGUGAAAUGCGUAGAGAUGUGGAGGAAUACCGGGUGGCGAAGGGCGGGCCCCUGGGACAAAAGACUGACGCUCAUGUGCGAAAGCGUGGGGAGCGAAAACAGGGAUUAGAUACC